rnacentral:rRNA from 1 species
AACUACUGGUCACCCUGGACAAGCCCGAUCUUGUCUGAUCUUGGAAGCUAAGCGGGGUCGGGCCUGGUUAGUGCUUGGAUGGGAGACCACCUAGGAAGACCAGGUGCCGUAGGCA